GCUAGGUGUGGUAGUGCAUGCCUGUAAUCCUAGUGGCACAGGAGGCUGAGGUAGGAGGAUCACAAGUUCAAAGCCAGCCUCAGCAAUGGUGAGGCCCUAAGCAACUCAGUGAGACCCUGUCUCUA
rnacentral:sRNA from 1 species